GACGUAGGGCGCGAGCGUUGUCCGGAUUUAUUGGGCGUAAAGCGCUCGCAGGUGGUUCGAUGCGUCGUGCGUGAAAGCCCCCGGCUCAACUGGGGAGUGUCGUGCGAUACGGUCGGACUGGAGGCCAGUAGGGGGAUGCGGAAUUCCGGGUGUAGUGGUGGAAUGCGUAGAGAUCCGGAGGAACACCAGCGGCGAAGGCGGCAUCCUGGACUGGUCCUGACACUCAUGAGCGAAAGCGUGGGGAGCGAACAGG
rnacentral:rRNA from 1 species